GUUGCUGGAACCUCUGUGAAAGCAGAGGAAGCUGGAAAGGAUGUAAUACAGUAGCUGCUGAUGAUCAUCUUGCCACCAUAGGGCUCUUUCAGAUCUUCAAGAAUGUUUAAGCAUACAAAGAAGCCCCGAGACCACAAGGGUGAGAACUACCAUCCUCCCCGCUCUCCGGAUGCUCCCACAGCCUGGGCUCCCCAGUGCAGAGCCAGCACCAAGCAGGAGAUGCAGUACAGUGUGCCCAGGACCAUGGCAGCCAUCACAUAUGCCCUCCACUGGGGAACAAGAAGUGCGUUAGGCUGAUGUACUCCACUCCACCUCCAUACGUGUUUGUGCAGUGACACCAGCCUGGAGGGCCUUCUAUCGCCAUCUCCCUCCUCUGUAAAUCCUACCCACUCUUUGAGUCUUGGCCCAAGGGCUGCUGUCUCUCUCUCUCUCAAAUGAUUUCUGUGUUCUCAUUUGUCUCUGCCUUCUCUGGGAAUCUUUGGUGCCACAGGGUAAUCUCCUGUGUGUCACUCCUGACUUCCUAAUUCAUCUGCCAUCUCCUUCCUUGAAAGCGGAAAUAGUGACUUCUUCUGCUUCCCUACAUUGCCUAAUAACAAUAACAACUACCAUAAUAAUACUUGCUAACAAUUAUUAAACAGUCACCAUUAUAAUAUUAGCUCAUUUACUCCUUGCAACAGCUCUCUAAGGUGGGCUCUAUGAUAUUAGCCUCAUUUUACAGAUGAGAGGACUGAGGCUCAGAAAGGUUAAAGAACUGCCCAAGCCACACAGUUCAGAAAUGGAGGCCAGCAUAUAAGCCAGUUCAACUCUGAUUGGCGACUGCUAGAAAUCAAUGGAGUGAUAUGCACUUAGCACUGUGCCGGGGGGAUAGAAAGUGCUCUACUACCCAGUAAGCAUUUAUUGAGCACCUACUAUGUGUCAGGCACUGCUAGGUGCUGUGGGUUCAGCUGUGAGCCAAGCAAAGUCCCUUCUCUCCUCGUGCUUGUAGGCUGUUCCUGCCUAAGCCUUCCCUCUGCUGUUCCCUCAGCUUGAAAUGUUUUCCCCAGGUUCCCACAUGGCUUGCUCCAUCACCUCCUUUAGGUCUCUGCUCAAAUAUCACCUUAUCAGUGAGGCUUCCUCUGACCUCACCACCUAAAAUCUCAACUUGCUCUGCCCUUCCCUGCAGCACAUCCUGCCCGAUGCCUGCAUGUGCUAUGGGCCUCACUCACUCAUGGGUAAUAUCUGUUUCCCCUGCAGGACGUCAGCUCUGUGAGGGUGGAAGAUGUGUCUGUCUUUUCCCUGCUAUAGCCUCUGGCACAGCAUAGCACCUGGUAUACAGUAGAUGCUCAGAAACCAUGUGCCAAAUGGAUGAAUGAGCAUGGUUGGUGGUGAAAAUUGUUAUGAGGAAGAAUGAAGAGAGUUGGUGAGCAGGAAGUUGCUGUUGCCAUCAAGGGAGCCAUUGUCCCAUGAGCCAUUGAACUCCACGGAGCCCUAGUUUAUGCUGCUGUGGAAGUGGCUCCCCAGCUUUCCCUAGAUGUGGGCUCCUACUAGCAUGCUGACAGCUUCCAUACCUAUGCCUGCGGAGGCGACUUAGGAGACCAGCGGACUUACUUCCUGGUCCCAGGAUGAAGUAAAGAAGCCAGCAGAUGGUGCCAAAGGCAACCUCUAUUUACCCUUGCUGCUCAUUAGCAUAAGACACUCCCACCAGUGCCGUGACAGUUUACAAAUGCCAUGGCAACGAGCUGCAAGUUACCACCCCUUUCCAUGGCAACAACUCGGCAUUUGUUCUUUUCUAGAGCAUUCUGAAUAACAAACCUCUUAAUUUGCAUGUAAUUAAAAACUUUUGGGUCUGGUAAAGAUCUUAAAUGUUUUUAGCACACACACACACACAAAUGUAAGUGGGUGAGGUGACAGAUGUGUUAACUAACACGAUUGUGGCACUCAUUUCACAAUGUAUAUGUAUAUCAAAUCAGCAUGUUGCACACCAUAAAUUUACACAAUUUUGUCAAUCAUACCUCAAGAAAGCUGGGAAAACAGAAUCAUACCACAAAUUCACUGUUUUAGAACAUGCAAUUAAGCAGUUUUAGUAUAUUUACAGAACUGUGCAACCAUUAUCACUACUAAUUCUAGCAUAUUUUAAUCAUCCCAAAAAGAAACCCUGUACCCAUUAGUAGUUACUCCCCAAUCCUCUCUCCCUCUAGUGUGUGGCAACAAGUUGUAGCAUGUAUCACUACUUCAUUUCUUUUUAUGGCCAAAUAACAUUCCAUUGUGUGGUUACACCACAUUUUGCUUAUCCAUUUAUCAACUGAUGCACAUUUGGAUUGUUUCUACCUUUUGGCUAUUGGGAACAGUGCUGCUGUGAACAGCCUGUGUACGUUUUUGUCUGAACACUUGUUUUCAAUUCCUUGGUCAUAUACCUAGGAGUAGAAUUGCUGGAUCCUAUGGUAACUCUGUUAUCAUAACUUUUUGAGGAACUGCCAAACUGUUUUCCAAAAGGGCUGCACCAUUUUACAUUCCCACUUUCAGUGCAGGAGGGUCCUAAUUUCUCUACAUUUUCACCAACACUUGUUGUCUAUCUUUUUUAUCAUAGCUAUCCUAAUGAGCGCAAAGUGGUGUCUCCAUGUGGUUUUCCUUUGCAUUUAAAGAUUACUAAUGAAUCAGUCUGGCGUGGUGGUGUGCGCCUGUAGUCCCAGCUACUUGGGAAGCUGAGGCACAAGAAUCACUGGAACCUGGGAGGCGGAGGUUGCAGUGAGCUGAGAUCUUGCCACUGCACUCCAGCCUGGGCAACAGAGCAAGACUCUGUCUAAAAAAAAAGAAAAGGAAUUUAGUACUACUAAUAAGCACAUUUUCAUGCUGAUUUGUUUGUUUUAAAGAUGCCAAAGAUCUAGAUGGGUUUUUAUGUGUGAAAUUUUCUGAUUUUAAAAUGUUGGUCCCAGAUCAUGGGGUGUUCAGAGCAGCAGGCUCCCAUGCUGGAGGGCCACACCACCCCCUGGCCAGGCCUGCUCAGCAUUGGCUUAUGUUUGGCCCAUGUUUGCCAACCACCUCCUUCAGUUCCCUGUUGUUCCCUCCAUGUCAGUCACUUUGAAUUUCUCCCAUUCCUCACACAUAGCAAGUUCUUUUCCACCCCAGGGCCUCUGCACUUGCUGUUCUUUCUGCCAAGCACACUUUCUCCCCAAAUCUCUGCUUGGUUGGUUUUUCAUGUUGCAGGUCUCAGCUCAAAUGUCAACUCCUCAGGGUUGCGAUCCCUGGCUACCCUAACAUAGCCCCAAAAUUUGCUGCUAGUAACUGUCCCAUUUCUAUUUCAUUGUCUUCAGAGAACUAUUGGCAUCUGAAAUUACCUUGCUGUGUAUUUAUUUACAGCUGUCCUUAGUUAUACACAGAGGAUUAUUUCCAGGACCUCUUGUAUAUACACAAAUUCACAUGUACUCAAGUCCUUUAGUGUUUAUUGGAGUCCACGGAUACUAUAUUUCUUUCUUUCCUCUUUUUUUUUUUUUUAAGAGAGAGGGUCUUGCUUUGUUGCCCAGGCUAGAGUGCAGUGGCAUGAUCACAGCUCACUGCAGCCUUGAACUCCUGGAUUCAAGCGAUCCUCCCACCUCAUCCAUCCAAGUAGCUGGGAUUACAGACAUGAGCCACAGUGCCUGACUCAGAUACUUUAUUUUUUAUUUACAUUUGGUUGAAAUAAAUUUGCCUAUAAGUGGAAUCACAUAGUUCAAACACGUGUUGUUUAAGGGUCAACUGUGUUCAUUUACUAUCUAUCCCACUAAGAUAUAAACUGUAAGAGCAGAAAUCAUGUCUCUUAUUCCCUGCUAUAACUUCCGUACCCUGCACCUAGCAGGUGCUUAAUACAUGUUUGAUGAAUGAGUAAAUAAGCUACAAAUGAGGAAAAUGAGGCUUUGAGAUGUUAAGUCACUUGCCCAAGGUCCCACAGUUAAUUAGUGGAAGAGCCACAACAGGAAAGGUUUUCUAUGUGCAGAUCCUGCAGCCCAGGAAGGAGAGACUUGCCUGAGUCUAAUAGCAAGUCAGCAAGAAAACAAAGGCCGCCAAGGUCUUUCCAUGGGCUGCUGAAUGAGGUUGGCACUGGGUGCCUGUCAAGCUCCAGGGGCCUGUCUGCAGUCGGUCUCAGCUGAGGGAGACCCUCCACCUCCAGGGACUCAGUCAACAAGACCUGGCUCCUCUAGAAGCCUCCAUAGAUGAAGGGCCCCCUGGAAAUCCCCAGAGAGAUUUCUGGAGGCCAGAGGUAGGAGGACAAUUCAGCAUCCAGAGGAGAAAGGAUUUUCUAACAGGCAGAGCAGCAGUGAUGGAAGGACAGGUGGCAAACUCCCCAUUGCCUGAGGGAGAUAAGCGGAGAUGAGUAUCAGGAGGGGACCAGCUCCACUCAGCUCUGCCACAUGUUACACUCAGGAAAGAGGCUGGGGGAGCACUGGCAAAACUCAGGAGAGGAAGAGGCACCAGUGCCCAGUCUAGUGCACGUGACAUUUGACUGAAUCAGUGGGACUGGUGGGAGCAAUGAUAAUGCAGCUUUAUUUUGACAUCCCAGUGUCCACACACCCUGAUGGGUGAACUGGAAUCUUCACAGGCACUGAGAUGGAAUCUAGGGCAGGUCCCAGUGACUCUGGUAAUUGAAAGUCUUCCUGUCACUUUUUCCCCUCAAAGAGCUUCAAUUCAUCUAUUCAUAAAAAUAAAUUUCUGCAAUGAUAAAAAUGUACCAGAAGCAAGUCAAAAGACAAAAAACAGAAUAGGAAAAAAAAUUGUGAUUCAUAUCUCAAAGUGUAUGUCUCCCUGAUUCUGAGACAUUAGUUUCCUAUACAUAAGUGAACAGAGGAUAUAAAUAGAGGUUCACAGAAAAGAGGAUGCAAUGGCUUCUGACUGCACGAAAAGAUACUCAACAUCCUUCAUAAUCAGGGAAAUGUUAAGGCAAACUAUGAUGGGGUCAGAUCUAGUUCUGGGCAAGAUGGAGUAAUAAGCAUGUUCCACCCCACCUCUCCUGCUGAAGGCAGCUAUAAAACCUGGACAGGAUGCACAGGCCAGCUAUGUGAGGACUCUGAAAAGUAAAUGGUAGAAGGUAACUUGAAGAAGAUCAGAAAUCAAAGUACCAUCCUGAGUUUACCUUUUUGCCCCCUUCUUGUUUCCUGGCUAGAACAAAAUGUAGCCUGGAAGUGGGGACUGGGACCACACAGGAAAACUCCAGUAGAAGCCCUCUAGUGCUGGCUUAAGGACCAGGAAUUUCUAAUGCCACUCUCCUGCCCUGAGUUUCUUUCUUCUUCCUGCUCUCCUAUGCCCCAGCCACCAGGGAGUCCCUGGCAGGAAUGACAGAGGCCUCAAAGCAUUGGGAACCUGCAGGAGCUGAAACUCAGAGGGAGGAGAAUGUUCUUCAUGCAUCAGCAGAGUUGUGAUCCCAAAAGGAAGGGAGCAAACCCCUGUUGCUUUUUCUUCUUUGUGCUCCCACCACCUGGCCCUGCCAUGAAGAGUGCAGCACAGCGGGAUGCUGCAGCUUUAGCUUUCUGGCUGGGAGCGUGAAAAGGGAGCCCCAGGAAACAGGAAAGUACCAGGGAGAUUGUAAAAAGGGAGGAGCUUGUGAAAGCAACCCCAUUACAUUGUUUACGAACUCCUUGAGGCACUCUCCAAUUGCACAUGUGUGGAUCUGAUUGUAAUCACCAUAUAAAGGCUCUGAGAAAUGUGCUAACAGGCCACAUGCUCAGGUCCCAGACUCCCUGCUGGGUAGUGCACACAGGGUACCAGACAGUCAGCAAAGGCUUUGCAGACUGAGCUGACAUUGGAACCACCACACACAGAAGGUUGGGACUUGAGGCCUGAACCUGACCAGGUUGACUGCCAGCCAAAACACAAGAUAUAAAUGUUUCCCAUAGAACUUAAAUAAGACCCAGAGCCUCAAAAUAUAAUACAGAAAACGUUCAGGUUACAAUCCCAAACUACUCAGCUUGUGAAGAUCCAGGAAAAUGUCAACUCUCCUGGGAGAAGACAUCAACAGAUGCCCACUCCUAGAUGACACAGAUGUUGGGGUUAUCUGAUACCUUUUGAAGAAAUUACUACAAAAAUACUCAAAUGAGUAAGGGUAGAUAUUCUCUUUUUCUUGAGAUAAAAUUCAAGUAACAGGCCGGGCGCGGUGGCUCACGCCUGUUAUCCCAGCACUUUGGGAGGCCGAGGCGGGUGGAUCAUGAGGUCAGGAGUUCAAGACCAGCCUGGCCAAGAUAGUGAAACCCCGUCUCUACUAAAAAUACAAAAAAUUAGCCGGGCGCAGUGGCAGGUGCCUGUAAUCCCAGCUACUUGGGAGGCUGAGGCAGGAGAAUCGCUUGAACUUGGAGGGUGGAGGUUGCAGUGAGCCAAGAUCGCACCACUGCACUCUAGCCUGGGUGACAGAGUGAGACUCCGUCACACACACACAAAAAAAUCAAGUAACAUAAAAUUAAUCAUUUUAACAGGGCGUUUAGUAUGUUCAAUGUUGUGUAACCAGUACCUCUAUCUAGUUCUAAAUAUUUUCGUCAACCCAAAAUAAAGCCUAGUAUCCAUUAAGCAGUACUUCCCAUUGUCCCUUCCACACAGCACCCAGCAACCAUCAAUCAGCUUUCUCUCUCUAUGGAUUUACCUAUUCUGGAUAUUUUAUAUAACAUGUAGCUGUCAUAGUAUGUGACUCUUGUGUCUGAGUUUUCACUUAGCAUAAUGGUUUUGAGGUUACCUAGAGUUAGCCAAACUGCAGGUAACCUCAAAAACAUUGUGCUAAGGUAGGGUCUUCCAGACCACCAAAUUUGACUCCCAAGACUCUGACACAAAUUUCAAGUUCAAGGGGUUCCUAAAACCACCCUCAGGUUGUAUAAUUCACCAGAAAGACUCGCUGAAACCUAUUAUAUGUACGUCUAUGUUUAUUACAACAAAAAUAUACAAAUUAGAACCAGCCAGAGGAAGAGAUGCAUAGGAUGGAGUUGGGAGGGGUCUAAAUGGGGAGUGUCCGGUGUCCUCUCCCCAGGGUCAUGGACAGUUACUUCCUCGUGACCAUGAUGUGUGAUAACAUGCACAGAGUAUUGCCAACCAGGGAAGCUCACCUGAACUUUGGUAUCUAGAGUUUUUAAUGAGGCUUCACUACAUGGGCAUGAUUGAUUAAACUCAAUCUUCAGCCCACUCCACCCCAACCCUGGAGGUUGGGUUGAAAGCUCUCACAGUAAAUUCUAUGUUUGGUUUUUCUGGUGUGGCCAGCCCCUCCACCCUAAGACUAUCAGGUGUGAGUGGCGUUAUGAAUAAUCUCAUCAACAUAAACUAUCAGGUGUGGUCCCAGUGACUCAACAGGAAUAAAGAGGACACUCCUGUCAUGUUGGAAAUUCUAGACAUUUCUUUGAGUGAGGCCAAAUUCCUUACAACAUGGAAGUUUAUCCAUUAUAGCAUUUAUCAAUACUUCAUUACUUUUUUGUUUCUGAAUAAUCCAUUUUAUGUGUACACGAUUUGUUUAUUCACUUGUUUAUUGCUGGACAUUUGGGUUGUUUCCACCUUUGGGGUAUUUUGAAUAAUGCUGCUAUUAAACAUGGAUGUACAAGUAUCUGAGUACCUGUUUUCAAUUCUUUUGAAUAUAUAUCUGGGAUGUUUAACUUUAUGCAUUAAUUUGACUGGAUUAUGGGAUACCCAGAUCUAUGGUAAAACGUUAUUUCAGAGUGUGUCUGUGAGGGUGUUUUCUAGAUUAGUAUUUGAAUCAGUGGAUGGAGUAAAGAAGAUCAUCCUCCCCAGUGUGGGCAGACAUCAUGGAUGAACUUCGGUGUUGAAGGCCCAUUAAAAUAGAACAAAAAUGUGGAGGAAGUGCAAAUUCUCUCUCUUUUUCAGCUGGAUCACCUUCUCCUGCUCUCAGACAAUGGAGCUCUUGGUUCUCAGGCUUUUGGACUCUAAGGCUUAUAUCAAUAGCCUCCCACCCCCAGAUUCUCAGACCUUAGGCCUUGGAGUGGGAGUUACACCACUGGCUUCCCUGAUUCUCAGGCUCUCAGACUUCAACUGAAUUACAUCACCAUCUUUCCUGGUUCUUCAGCUUGUAAAUAGUAUGUCAUGGGACUUCUUGGCCUCUGUAAUUGCAUGAAACAAUUCCCAUAAUAAAUCUUCUCUAUAUGUAUUGCAUUGGUUCUGUUUCUCUGGAGAACUCUGACUAAUAUAAUUCCUAAGAGUGGAAUUUCUGGGUCAUAUGUAAUUCUAUGUUUAGCUUUUUGAGGAGCCACCAAAUUGUUUUCCAC
rnacentral:lncRNA from 1 species